UACGGGAGGCAGCAGUGGGGAAUAUUGCACAAUGGGCGCAAGCCUGAUGCAGCCAUGCCGCGUGUAUGAAGAAGGCCUUCGGGUUGUAAAGUACUUUCAGUCGUGAGGAAGGUGUUAAGGUUAAUAACCUUAGCAAUUGACGUUAGCGACAGAAGAAGCACCGGCUAACUCCGUGCCAGCAGCCGCGGUAAUACGGAGGGUGCGAGCGUUAAAUCGGAAUUACUGGGCGUAAAGGGCACGCAGGCGGUUAAUUAAGUUGGAUGUGAAAAUCCCCGGGCUUAACCUGGGAAUGACAUUCAAGACUGGUUAGCUAGAGUCUUGUAGAGGGGGUAGAAUUCCAUGUGUAGCGGUGAAAUGCGUAGAGAUGUGGAGGAAUACCGGUGGCGAAAGGCGGCCCCUGGACAAAGACUGACGCUCAUGUGCGAAAGCGUGGGGAGCAAACAGGGAUUAGAUACC
rnacentral:rRNA from 1 species